rnacentral:rRNA from 1 species
UACGAAGGGUGCAAACGUUGCUCGGAAUCAUUGGGCGUAAAGCGCACGUAGGCGGCUUUGCAAGUCGGAUGUGAAAUCCCGUGGCUCAACCAUGGACGUGCAUUCGAAACUGCAAAGCUUGAGUAUGGAAGAGGGUCGCGGAAUUCCCGGUGUAGAGGUGAAAUUCGUAGAUAUCGGGAGGAACACCAGUGGCGAAGGCGGCGACCUGGGCCAAUACUGACGCUGAGGUGCGAAAGCGUGGGGAGCAAACAGG